GGAAGGAUCAUUACCGGAUCUCGAAUCCGAAUGAACCAAACUUGGGGUUCUCGAGUGCCUGAUUGAUGCGGUAGGCGCCCUGCGCAAUUCCGUGGCAUUCGGACCUAACGGGGUUCUGAGAAACCACCUCUGCCGGGGCAGCUGUGAGUCCCGUGAACGCGGCAGAGUUGGCGACUUGGUUACCUCCUCAAACCUAGGGUUCAUCCUAGUUUGGGUACGUACACCUGGCGUCUUUACAGGAGACAACCCGCCUGUUGGAGACGGGACGUUGGGUAAAAGCUUAGCCAAGCAAUGAUCAGGCUAAGUGUACGUUUGAAGAGGGAGACGAGGGUUUGUCGUGAGACAAAACCUGGGUGCCAUUGUCGUUACCCUUUGCUAGGGUUUCGGCAGCCGUACGUGAACCUAGUACGGGUUGGCCGCUCACACCGGCGCGGAGCUUGCGCCCGUCUACCCGCCCAAACCACCUUUAAACAUUCAAAGACUUUAUACCACUUAAUUAACUAUUCUAAGCGGUGGAUCACUAGGCUCGUGGGUCGAUGAAGAACGCAGCCAACUGCGUGAAUUAAUGUGAAUUGCAGACACAUUGAACAUUGACACUUUGAACGCACAUUGCGGAAGUGGGUUUUUCCCACUUCCACAUCUGUCUGAGGGUGACAUGAGAAUUCAAUUGCCCACUCUGUGUUGGCGCUCCUUCGCGGGGUGUUUGUUGCACCAACAUGGGGAAAAUGGUGGGCAGGUUUGGUUCGCUACUCUCUAACGGGGGUACCGAACUUAAAUACGGAGAGGCGGUUGUUUCUUGGCGCAAGCCUUACCGCUGCCUACUUUAAAGAGGGGAUACUGGUCUGUCUGCCCAGACCGGGUCUGCCGGUGAACUCUCGGCGACCUGGGUGAACGCAAUCUGAGGCUGCCCUUGACAGUACCGUAACCCUGCUUCCUUUCUUCACCUCAGAUCAGGUGUGAUUACCCGCUGAAUUUAAGCAUAUUAUUAAGCGGAGGAAAAGAAACUAACAAGGAUUCCCCUAGUAAUGGCGAAUGAACGGGGAAGAGCCCAGCACCGAAUCCCGCAGUGCCUCACUGUUGGGAGCUGUGGUGUUUAGGCAAGCCUGUCGGGCAUCUCGAGGCAGUCAAAGUCCCCUUGAGGGGGGCCAUGGCCCAUAGCGGGUGCAAGGCCCAUACGACGCUUCUUGGUGUUCGAACGGAGCUGCCGUGGAGUCGGGUUGCUUGAGAGUGCAGCCCAAAGUGGGUGGUAAACCCCAUCUAAGGCUAAAUAUAACCACGAGACCGAUAGCAAACAAGUACCGUGAGGGAAAGUUGCAAAGAACUUUGAAGAGAGAGUUCAAAGGACGUGAAACCGCUUAGAAGUAAACGGGUGGAGCUGCCAUUAUCUUGGUCGGAUUCAGCCGGUCAUGGGUUGACGUUCUGCUCACACGAUCGCAAGACGGGUGAGUGGUUCCGAUCGGCUCUUGGCUGGUGUACUUCCGAUCAGGAUGCGCUACGACCAACUAAGGAGCUAGCUAAAGGCCACUUGAGUGCCGACAGUGGCCUUCGGGUUGCUGUGCCCCCUCUUGUGAGUCUGCUCAGUCUCCCUGGUUGAGUAAACGACCGCAGUCGCUUGAGUCUCAGCUUGCGGUGCUUGAGGUUGAACAAUGCCCAGUUGUGCACGCACGACUAGGUUUGCCUCGGUUUCAUAGCGCUGUAAGACUGAGUCGCUGCAAAUGGUCUGUAGCGUCCGAGUCAGCCAACCUCCCGACCCGUCUUGAAACACGGACCAAGGAGUCUAACAUGUGCGCAAGUCAUUGGGUUGUCUAAACCUAAAGGCGCAAUGAAAGUGAAAGCCAGCUUCCGUUGGCCGAGGUGGGAUCCCCGGCUCGUCCGAGGCGCACCACCGUCCCAUCGCAUCUACUCGUUAGAGCGGUGGAGAAAGAGCGCACACGUUGGGACCCGAAAGAUGGUGAACUAUGCCUGAGCAGGAUGAAGCCAGAGGAAACUCUGGUGGAGGUCCGUAGCGGUUCUGACGUGCAAAUCGAUCGUCAGACUUGGGUAUAGGGGCGAAAGACUAAUCGAACCAUCUAGUAGCUGGUUCCCUC
rnacentral:misc_RNA from 1 species